GACGAACGCUGGCGGCGUGCUUAACACAUGCAAGUCGAACGGUGAAAGCGGAGCUUGCUCCGCUGGAUCAGUGGCGAACGGGUGAGUAACACGUGGGCAACCUGCCCCUCACUUCGGGAUAACUCCGGGAAACCGGGGCUAAUACCGGAUAUGACCUCCUUGGGCAUCCUUGGAGGUGGAAAGUUUUUCGGUGAGGGAUGGGCCCGCGGCCUAUCAGCUUGUUGGUGAGGGAGUGGCUCACCAAGGCGACGACGGGUAGCCGGCCUGGGAGGGCGACCGGCCACACUGGGACUGAGACACGGCCCAGACUCCUACGGGAGGCAGCAGUGGGGAAUAUUGCGCAAUGGGCGAAAGCCUGACGCAGCAACGCCGCGUGCGGGAUGACGGCCUUCGGGUUGUAAACCGCUUUCAGCAGGGAAGAAGCCGCAAGGUGACGGUACCUGCAGAAGAAGCACCGGCUAACUACGUGCCAGCCGCCGCAGUAA
rnacentral:rRNA from 1 species